CCAGACCCUCAGGACAGGGUCCCCGCUCCCUGCACGAUCCCCGGGGGACCGAGACCCUCAGGACGGGGUCCCCGCUCCCUGGACUCUCCCCGGGGACCGAGACCCUCAGGACGGGGUCCCCGCUCCCUGGACUCUCCCUGGGGGACCGAGACCCUCAGGACGGGGUCCCCGCUCCCUGGACUCUCCCCGGGGACCGAGACCCUCAGGACGGGGUCCCCGCUCCCUGGACUCUCCCCGGGGGACCAUGACCCUCAGGACGGGGUCCCCGCUCCCUGGACUCUCCCCGGGGACCGAGACCUCAGACGGGGUCCCCGCUCCCUGGACUCCCCCGGGGCAUCAUGACCCUCAGGACGGGGUCCCCGCUCCCUGGACUCUCCCCGGGGGACCCAGACCGUCAGGACAGGGUCCCCGCUCCCUGCACGAUCCCCGGGGGACCGAGACCUCAGGACGGGGUCCCCGCUCC
rnacentral:lncRNA from 12 species